rnacentral:lncRNA from 14 species
CCUAAGUGUUCACUGAGGACAAAUCCAUCAGCUCAUGCAAUAAGAAAAACAAGAAUAGUUCUUCAUGGUUUAUUUAACAACCACAGCAACAGCAGGAGUCAAAUUUCAAGAGACUGCAAUGAAUCUGCAGAGUAAACUUAGUAUAACAAAUAGAUUGUCAGGAACCAUAACCCACCAAUUGAUAGCAGAAGAGGAAAGACUUCAGACAGAUUUUCCAAAGAGAUUACUUAGUCUUUUCAUUUUUGACUGUCAGACUGGUGACACUUGAAAGGCUUUAAGAUUUCUAGGGACAGAUUUGCAGAUCUUUCUAAAAACCAGGUCUUAUUAAAUACCUUUAAAUAGUGAUUUAAAUGUAAGUCCUAGGGGUUAUUAAUUCAGGUUGAGAAGGAAAAUAAAAUGUGUUAACCGUGCAGCAAUCACAGGUGAUUCAUAACAACACCACUUAAUGCUGUUGCACAAGUUAAUGCCAGCUGCUAAGCAAUACACCAUUCACACUUUUUGCCCAGGACCAGGACUUACAGAUGGGAUCUGGGAGAUGGGUACAUAAUAAGUUUAUUGGAAUAGAUUCUCCAGUUCUCUAUGUCAGCUGCAAUUAGUAGCCAUGGGUCUGACCUCAGUCCACAGAGUUUUAUGUUUUUAACCAUUGCCUGCACAAUACAGAUAGGCCGUCCAUGCUGUUAUUUAUCUAUGACUGAAAACAAGGCAUGGGAGAACAUGCCAGUGAGAAUGCUGUGUUCCCACAGCCUUCUUGCGUAAAUAUUUCUCUUUUGUCAGCAAUAAAAGGUCUGGGAUGCUGAUGCAGAAGAUAAGAGUGCAGCUGUGCCAGCUCUGCAGAGUUGAAGCAAACGGAGUGUGUGUGCUCAGCUCCACUAAAGGAGGGAUACAGGAAAGAAGUUGCUUCUACAAGUGCAAGUUGCACUUUGGAGCAGUAGUUAUUUUCCACUGUCUUUUGUCAAGAGGUCUGACCUCUCUUGCACUUCAAGACCCAGAAAAUUCCUCAGCACAGGCAUCACCUCAGGACCAGAAGCCUUGAAAUGAUGAAAGGACAGCCCUUUACUCCUCACCACUCAAAUUUCAUUGGUUUCUCAUGCAACACACCAAACAUUUUUCUCCAGAUCAUCUAAAGCUCUACAAGAUUUCUUCUGGACUCAAAAGGAACCAUGAAACCUGGUGACAAAAUUAUAAGUCACAGGAGGAAAAAAAUAAGAGAGGAAAAGCAUUCUUCAGCUCUGGCAGAACUGGGAGAAUUAAUCCCAUGAAAUUCUGUUUACUCGGGACAGGGACACAAGGCACACAACCCCCGGGNNNNNNNNNNNNNNNNNNNNAAAGCAUGGCUCUUUUAUGCUGCUGGCUGCAUUUUGUAGUGGCUGUUGUUUCAUUUUAAUGUUUUAGCCUCAGAUUUUGUUUUGUUUUUUCUGGUUUGCCUUCUAUUUUGGACAUGUUCUGCAGCAACCCUAUCUUUCAGUUUGGAGAACUGUUGGAGCUAUCAUUCAAGUUUUGUAGAGAUUUCAUUGUCUGAAUGAUGUAGAGACUCAAAUAAUGCAUCCAAGGCAAUAGCUGGAGCGUGCACAGGUAAACACCUAAUCUGGGAGGAGGACCAGUACAGAUAUCUAAAAUAGAUGGUUUUCCAGCCCCUGGUGAGAUACUGCAAUUCCUCAACACUCUUUUUGUAUAUGUAUAGCUAUAAAUAAAUCCUUGUGCAUGUAAGCCUGUCUCA